GAUGAACGCUGGCGGCGUGCCUAAUACAUGCAAGUCGAGCGAACGGACGAGAAGCUUGCUUCUCUGAUGUUAGCGGCGGACGGGUGAGUAACACGUGGAUAACCUACCUAUAAGACUGGGAUAACUUCGGGAAACCGGAGCUAAUACCGGAUAAUAUUUUGAACCGCAUGGUUCAAAAGUGAAAGACGGUCUUGCUGUCACUUAUAGAUGGAUCCGCGCUGCAUUAGCUAGUUGGUAAGGUAACGGCUUACCAAGGCAACGAUGCAUAGCCGACCUGAGAGGGUGAUCGGCCACACUGGAACUGAGACACGGUCCAGACUCCUACGGGAGGCAGCAGUAGGGAAUAUUCCGCAAUGGGCGAAAGCCUGACGGAGCAACGCCGCGUGAGUGAUGAAGGUCUUCGGAUCGUAAAGCUCUGUUAUUAGGGAAGAACAUAUGUGUAAGUAACUGUGCACAUCUUGACGGUACCUAAUCAGAAAGCCACGGCUAACUACGUG
rnacentral:rRNA from 1 species